rnacentral:rRNA from 1 species
AGAGUUUGAUCCUGGCUCAGGACGAACGCUGGCGGCGUGCUUAACACAUGCAAGUCGAGCGAGAUCCAUCCGGUGGCAACACUGGUGAAGACCGAGCGGCGAACGGGUGAGUAACACGUGAGCAACCUGCCCCCGAGUCUGGGAUAACCCCGGGAAACCGGAGCUAACACCGGAUGACCUCAUCGGACCGCAUGGCCUGAUGAGGAAAGUUUACGCUCAGGGAGGGGCUCGCGGCCUAUCAGCUUGUUGGCGGGGUAACGGCCCACCAAGGCAUCGACGGGUAGCUGGUCUGAGAGGACGACCAGCCACGCUGGGACUGAGACACGGCCCAGACUCCUACGGGAGGCAGCAGUGGGGAAUCUUGCGCAAUGGGCGAAAGCCUGACGCAGCAACGCCGCGUGCGGGAUGAAGGCUCUCGGGUCGUAAACCGCUUUCAGCAGGAACGAAAUUGACGGUACCUGCAGAAGAAGCACCGGCUAACUACGUGCCAGCAGCCGCGGUAAUAC